rnacentral:rRNA from 1 species
UACGUAGGUGGCAAGCGUUGUCCGGAAUUAUUGGGCGUAAAGCGCGCGCAGGCGGCCUUUUAAGUCUGAUGUGAAAGCCCACGGCUCAACCGUGGAAGGUCAUUGGAAACUGAAAGGCUUGAGUACAGAAGAGGAAAGCGGAAUUCCACGUGUAGCGGUGAAAUGCAUAGAGAUGUGGAGGAACACCAGUGGCGAAGGCGGCUUCUGGUCUGUAACUGACGCUGAGGCGCGAAAGCGUGGGGAGCAAACAGG